CGCGGCCUAUCAGCUUGUUGGUGGGGUAAUGGCCUACCAAGGCGACGACGGGUAGCCGACCUGAGAGGGUGACCGGCCACACUGGGACUGAGACACGGCCCAGACUCCUACGGGAGGCAGCAGUGGGGAAUAUUGCACAAUGGGCGAAAGCCUGAUGCAGCGACGCCGCGUGAGGGAUGAAGGCCUUCGGGUUGUAAACCUCUUUCAGCAGGGACGAAGCGCAAGUGACGGUACCUGCAGAAGAAGCACCGGCUAACUACGUGCCAGCAGCCGCGGUAAUACGUAGGGUGCGAGCGUUGUCCGGAAUUACUGGGCGUAAAGAGUUCGUAGGCGGUUUGUCGCGUCGUUUGUGAAAACCCGGGGCUCAACUUCGGGCUUGCAGGCGAUACGGGCAGACUUGAGUGUUUCAGGGGAGACUGGAAUUCCUGGUGUAGCGGUGAAAUGCGCAGAUAUCAGGAGGAACACCGGUGGCGAAGGCGGGUCUCUGGGAAACAACUGACGCUGAGGAACGAAAGCGUGGGUAGCAAACAGGAUUAGAUACCCUGGUAGUCCACGCCGUAAACGGUGGGCGCUAGGUGUGGGUUCCUUCCACGGAAUCUGUGCCGUAGCUAACGCAUUAAGCGCCCCGCCUGGGGANUACGG
rnacentral:rRNA from 1 species